AUUGAACGCUGGCGGCAGGCCUAACACAUGCAAGUCGAGCGGAUGAAGGGAGCUUGCUCCUGGAUUCAGCGGCGGACGGGUGAGUAAUGCCUAGGAAUCUGCCUGGUAGUGGGGGAUAACGUCCGGAAACGGGCGCUAAUACCGCAUACGUCCUGAGGGAGAAAGUGGGGGAUCUUCGGACCUCACGCUAUCAGAUGAGCCUAGGUCGGAUUAGCUAGUUGGUGGGGUAAAGGCCUACCAAGGCGACGAUCCGUAACUGGCCUGAGAGGAUGAUCAGUCACACUGGAACUGAGACACGGUCCAGACUCCUACGGGAGGCAGCAGUGGGGAAUAUUGGACAGUGGGCGAAAGCCUGAUCCAGCCAUGCCGCGUGUGUGAAGAAGGUCUUCGGAUUGUAAAGCACUUUAAGUUGGGAGGAAGGGCAGUAAGUUAAUACCUUGCUGUUUUGACGUUACCAACAGAAUAAGCACCGGCUAACUUCGUG
rnacentral:rRNA from 1 species